AAAGAAACAAGUAAUCUUAUUUCUGGUGGCAAAUAAUAUCAUUUACAGGUUGGCUAAUAAUAUAAAAACAAAUACCGCAAUUGAUAUAUAACCGAAUGGUAUAUGGAUGAAGCUAUAAAAUUCGUAGGGUUGCAAACAGCAAUGUUGCUUAAGAUUAGUAGUAUAAGAAAUGGUUAAUUAAGAGAAUACAUUAAUUAGAAUUAAAACAACAAAGCAGUGUAGAAUAAUUGGUUCCAAGUAUCAGGAAGCCCAGGAAGGCACCAAUGGCUACAGUCAGCUGAUCGGUAAGGGUUAGCCCUCUGCUCAGGGCUCAAGUCACCACUAUAUAUGGAUGGAUGGCAAUCUUUCCUCAGUUGAGAAAGCAUUGUAAUGUCUAGCAAAUAUGCAGGGUUAUGCAUGUCCGUAAUUACAUCAUCCACCACUCUCAUUUGAUCUGGGUAUUCCCUUGGAUUUACUGUUCCACUCAUCGGCGUCGUCUCACCGUAACAAUUUUUUGUUGAAGCUAACCCCGUUGCCACGCCGCUCCAUUCACUGGGAUCGUAAUGUGUAGGGGAGAUAGACUGGAAAAAAACCCUAGUUGAAGAAGAGUCAAUGUUGGAAUCAAUCCAAUUGGCCCAUGUUCUUAGCCCUUUCUCCAAAGCAACCAAACGAUCCAUGUCUUUGUAAUAGGUGCCCCCUGAUUCCAUGUAAUCCCAUCCUUGUUCACCUCCUUGGUGAAUCCACCAAUGACCCGUGUUAAACAAUAAAACGUCAGCGUUGCGCCAGGCAUUUCCAUUGCCUGAAAUGUCCUCCAGUUUUAGGAUUCUCUUCCCUUGCACCACAUCUAUGUCCACCAGAUAUGGAGCUUUGUAAUACACAAUGGAAAUGCCAUAGUCCAAGAACUUGAAGAUGGAAACAGGCUCUCCUCUGCUCAUUUGCGUUGAAGUUGUUGCAGGCACCCCAGCUAAAAUCAUGCAAAUCAAAGACUCAUAUUGAUUCCGCCCAAGCGAGUCACCCACAAACAUCACCGUUUUCCCUCUCAUUUUUUCCAGAAAUUCAAGCCCGUUGAACCUUGGGAGUUCACAAUUGAGAGGCUGCCAUCUAUAUUUGAGGUAAUCGGAGUCCGGCCGACCGUACAUUUGGCAAUUGAAUUGAGGGUCAAUAAAGGGACAAUUAGAAGAUUCGUAAAGAGGGUAAGUGUCAUCCUUAACCCAAGUGCCCACAAACAAUGCACAAGUGCUCUGAUUAGCUUGCAACAUUGGUCUUCUAUUGUGCUGCUUCUUAUGGUGGUUCCUUAAGCUCAUUAUCAAAGCUGAAGAAGCAAUCUGCAUUUCUAACACCACUAAACAUAGAAUUAUCAAACACCAAUAUCUAUUAGCAAGAUUGCCAGAAGAUUGGGUGAAGAACAGAGACAUUUCAGAACCUAUAGGCAUGAGAACAAGGAUGCCAAAAAGAAAAAAGCUAGACUUUCAUGAAGAAAAAAAACAUGGGUUAGUAAGAGAAAAGAAGGGUUAUUUUGGUUGUUUUUGUGGGCAUGUGAAGGUAGCUGAGAUGGGCUCACGUGAGCUAAAAUAUUGGGAUCGUUUGGAGGUGGCUUGCAAGGUUAGAUUUUAAAACAGGGAGGAGAUUGGUUUGUUUUGCCUGCAAGUUUUCUGUGUGUCCACACCCAUGAGCCAGUAUAUUAAUUCAGAACUCGUCAUUGAAAAGUGGACAAAGUGGGAAAACUACAAAAACUAAAAGGUAAAAGGAGAAAAGGGCAACUGCGCACAAUAUGUAAGUGAAGAUUUGCAGAGGAGGCUGUGCUGUGGUGUGGUAUAUCUAUUAAAAUCUCGCUUCAAAUAUCUCUCCCUCUCUGUCCAAACACACAUACACACAACUA
rnacentral:misc_RNA from 1 species